AUUGAACGCUGGCGGCAUGCUUUACACAUGCAAGUCGAACGGCAGCGCGGGGCAACCUGGCGGCGCGUGGCGAACGGGUAAGUAAUACAUGGGAACGUACCCAGAAGUGGGGGAUAACGUAGCGAAAGUUACGCUAAUACCGCCUACGUUCUACGGACGAAGGUGGGGGACCGCAAGAACUGAUGCUUUUGGUGCGGCCGAUGUCUGAUUAGCUAGUUGGUGAGGUACAGGCUCACCAAGGCGACGGUCAGUAGCUGGUCUGCGAGGACGACCAGCCACACUGUGACUGAGACACGGCCCAGCCUCCUACGGGAGGCAGCAGUGGGGAAUUUUGGACAAUGGGCGCAAGCCUGAUCCAGCAAUGCCGCGUGAGUGAAGAAGGCCUUCGGGUUGUAAAUCUCUUUUGUCAGGGAAGAAACGGCUGAGGUUAAUACCUUCGGCUAAUGACGGUACCUGAAGAAUAAGCACCGGCUAACUACGUGCCAGCCGCCGCAGUAA
rnacentral:rRNA from 1 species